GGGGAUGUAGCUCAGUGGUAGAGCGUCCGCUUUGCAUGCGGAAAGCCCGGGGUUCGAUCCCCCGCAUCUCCA
rfam:Nematostella vectensis strain CH2 x CH6 NEMVEscaffold_161_Cont16368, whole genome shotgun sequence.